AGCUAAAAAGUCAAUGUUUUUAUACUAGGACUUGAGUUGACUAUUUGAGACUAUUAAAUUACCAAUUAAUGAAUGAAUUUUGAUUAAACUAAGGGUUUUAGUUUCUUAAAUAGUUUUUUGGAAAUUUAGUAAACAUGGAUAAUAAUUUAGUUCUCUUAUUUUGUUUUAUAGGAGUUGAUUUCUAGUGAGUCGUGAUUCGCACAGUGGCCCCCGUACUUAGGUAUUCCAGAUUUUUAAUAAAGCAGGUUUGUAGAGAUAACUUGCGGCAGAAGUUAUCAUGGGAUUCGUGUUGAGAGUUUGAUCUUCCGUAUUUUAUAAACUCUACUUUUAUUUAGUCAUGACUACUACUAUUUAUAGUUAAUGGAUUUUUAAAUGGUUUAAUACUUUGGUUUUGGGCCUCAGUGGUUCCAACUUGUUU